GCAUUGCGAACACGUCUGAAGGUCUGUGAAGAAGGUGUCUGAGGAAACAGGUUUAGUUUAGCACAGAUUGGGAGCUCUUUUGUCAGCACUGAGGAAGUAGGAACUGCCACAGGUCACGAUGAGGCAGCUUAAGCACAGGUAUGAAGCCCUGGCUCUGUCAACACUGAGAAGGCAAAGCUGUCUGUCUGCCAGUGCUGAGGAGACAGGAGCUGACGGAUGACAGAGGUAUGAGGCCUUUGGUCUGCCAGGAAGAAAAGGCCAACCCUGGUAACAUCUCUGGCAAUGGCUUUGAUCGGUGUCGUGUGGAGAGUCACUACCACUGGGCUGCUGACUCUAGAAGAGUUGUGUUGGGUCAAGCCCUACAGGCUGUACCCAUGGAAGAGUGGCUUUGCUGGAACAGGUGUGGCCGGAGGGAGGGGUAGGGUGUGCCUACCCUCCUUCAAUGCCCUCUCCUUCUCUCCUAGUGGGUAGGUGGCCGCUACUCGCUGUGGUCAGCCAUUGGACUCUCCAUCGCUCUGCAUGUGGGUUUUGACCACUUUGAACAGCUGCUGUCCGGGGCUCACUGGAUGGACCAGC
rnacentral:lncRNA from 1 species